rnacentral:rRNA from 1 species
GAUGAACGCUAGCGGCAGGCCUAACACAUGCAAGUCGAGGGGUAGAAGGAUUAAGCUUGCUUAAUUGCUGACGACCGGCGCACGGGUGCGUAACGCGUAUGCAACCUACCUUAUACUGGGGUAUAGCCCGGAGCAAUUCGGAUUAAUCCCCCAUAGUACUAAUGAAUCGCAUGGUUUAUUAGUUAAAGCAUUGCGGUAUAAGAUGGGCAUGCGUCCUAUUAGCUAGAUGGUGAGGUAACGGCUCACCAUGGCUACGAUAGGUAGGGGGCCUGAGAGGGUGGUCCCCCACACUGGUACUGAGACACGGACCAGACUCCUACGGGAGGCAGCAGUGAGGAAUAUUGGUCAAUGGGCGCAAGCCUGAACCAGCCAUGCCGCGUGCAGGAAGAAUGCCCUAUGGGUUGUAAACUGCUUUUAUUUGGGAAUAAACCUCUUUACGUGUAGAGAGCUGAAGGUACCAAAUGAAUAAGCACCGGCUAACUCUGUGCCAGCCGCCGCCGUAA